CCUACGGGUGGCAGCAGUGGGGAAUAUUGCACAAUGGGGGAAACCCUGAAGCAGCGACGCCGCGUGAGUGAAGAAGUUAUUCGGUAUGUAAAGCCCUUUUAGUAGGGAAGAAAAUGACGGUAUCUGACUAAUAAGCACCGGCUAACUCCGUGCCAGCAGCCGCGGUAAUACGGAGGGGGCAAGCGUUAUUCGGAUUCACUGGGCGUAAAGGGCGCGUAGGCGGAAGUGCAAGUCAGAGGUGAAAGGCGGGGGCUUAACCAUCGGACUGCACUGGAAACUGUUCGGCUAGAGUAUAGGAGAGGUAGGUGGAAUUCCUGGUGUAGCGGUAAAAUGCGUAGAGAUCAAGAGGAACACCAAUGGCGAAGGCGGCUUACUAGACUAUAACUGACGUUGAGGCUCGAAAGCGUGGGGAGCAAACAGGAUUAGAUACCCGAGUAGUC
rnacentral:rRNA from 1 species